rnacentral:rRNA from 1 species
UACGUAGGGCGCAAGCGUUAUCCGGAAUUAUUGGGCGUAAAGAGCUCGUAGGCGGUUUGUCGCGUCUGCCGUGAAAGUCCGGGGCUCAACUCCGGAUCUGCGGUGGGUACGGGCAGACUAGAGUGAUGUAGGGGAGACUGGAAUUCCUGGUGUAGCGGUGAAAUGCGCAGAUAUCAGGAGGAACACCGGUGGCGAAGGCGGUUCUCUGGGCCUGUGCUGACGCUGAGGAGCGAAAGCGUGGGGAGCGAACAGG